GGCCUGGUUAUUCAUAACCCUUUGUUGUCCGACUCUGUUGCCUCCGGGGCGACCCUGCCUUCGGGCGGGGGCUCCGGGUGGACACUUCAAACUCUUGCGUAACUUUGCAGUCUGAGUAAACUUAAUUAAUAAAUUAAAACUUUUAACAACGGAUCUCUUGGUUCUGGCAUCGAUGAAGAACGCAGCGAAAUGCGAUAAGUAAUGUGAAUUGCAGAAUUCAGUGAAUCAUCGAAUCUUUGAACGCACAUUGCGCCCCCUGGUAUUCCGGGGGGCAUGCCUGUUCGAGCGUCAUUUCACCACUCAAGCCUCGCUUGGUAUUGGGCAACGCGGUCCGCCGCGUGCCUCAAAUCGUCCGGCUGGGUCUUCUGUCCCCUAAGCGUUGUGGAAACUAUUCGCUAAAGGGUGUUCGGGAGGCUACGCCGUAAAACAACCCCAUUUCUAAGGUUGACCUCGGAUCAGGUAGGGAUACCCGCUGAACUUAAGCAUAUCAAUAAGCGGAGGAA
rnacentral:rRNA from 1 species